rnacentral:misc_RNA from 1 species
UUUUCGCCGAUGUUUUCAUCCAUUUGCAUAGACCAAGUAAUUUAAACAGUAUUGUCUUACUCACUAAACAACAAUAUUAAAAUCAAAGCAACAGCAAGCAUUUCGUUGGACAUUUUUUAGGUACAUUGACGAAAUAAAACCAAAAUAUUGUAUUUUUACUACUAAUUAGAUUUAUUGAUAUCUAUGUCAACACAUCCUCUAUACAAAACCUUGAAAAAUAUCUAUCCUUACUCGCCUCAAUUCCUAAUUAAUACUUUCAUUUUAAUUACAAAGUAAAAAAAUAUAUGAUAACGCUAAAUUAAAAUAUUUAAGGAACAUUAUUUCUAAAACUUUAAUUGAUGAAUUAUUAUGAAACGUCUAAAAAUUGGGUUCUAUUAAGUUCCCAAGACAAUUGAAAAUUUUACUAGCGCAUAAGAGUCGUUUUUUUUUAUAAUUUCUUGACUAGAAAAAAAAUAACCUGUCUUUAGUAAGGGCAACAUUACAUCUUGUGAAAAACUAAGCAUAAUCUGUGUAAUCUUAAUGUUAUAAAAGAAAAACUAUUUACUUUUUACAAUCAAAUGAUAUUAUAUUUUUCAAUUACCGUAUAUUUUGGCACCGGUGAAAGGCAUCUUCGUGUGUUUAUUAAUAGUUAUUAUUAUUAUUUUAAUUGAUAUUAUUGUUUAUCUCACAAGUAAUCACGAUUUACGAAUCAGCAGAUGGUGAUAUAAAAAAAAAAACAAUGAGAAUGACAUUUCAAUAAAAAAAGAUAGGAUAAUUAGUGAAACCGAACAUGCAAAACCUACUUGACAAUAAAAAUAAUUUAUGAAACGUUUUACAAUAAUGAUGCUAGUUCUGAUUACACAACAGAAUCAAAAUAAAAGUCAUAGUCAGAAAGCGAAUAACUAAGCAUCUUUUCAUUGAAAUCUCGGAAGGCGAAAUGAUAUCACUAAAAUAUAGAUAGUUCGACUUAGUUGCUGUGACAGUGGUCAUCUGAGUAACACGAGUUUUUUUUUGUGAAUACAAUCAUUUAUAAAAACGUCUAGUGCUUUCAAAAAUAUUUUUAUUACUUAAUAAAUAAAUGGUUGGUUCUCUUGCUAUGGUUAGUUUUAAACGUAUUUAUCUCUUUUUAUUUUGUAAGUAGGUUAUAGUUUAUUUUUGUUAAAUAUUGCGCAAACAUUUAAUUUAAAUGCAUGCCAAUUUAGUGCCAUUAUUAAUGUUUAAAAUUGUAGAACAAAAGUGAAAUAAAAUAAAAUGAAACAGUGCCAUAUUAAAUUAACUUUUUUUUCUUAUACAAAGUGCAGUUAUUCAGUCUACAUUACUGUACCACUUGGCACGCACACAUAUUUAUUUCUACAAGCUUAACGCGCUUCAGCCUGUAAGAUCCCACUGCUGGGCAUAGGCCUCUUUUCCUAUACCUAUAGGAGAAAGAUCAGAGUUUAAUCCACCACACUGCUCCAAUGGGGGUUGGCGGAUAUAUUCCCUACUAUGAGUAACGAUCACUGCAAACCAGUGCUGUGACCAUUGCGCCAACGCGUCGUCUGCAUGCUUAACGCACACAUAUAAUCGCGCGCACAGAAUAAGUUGAAAUAUCUAUAUCCGAUUUCUUUAUUUCAAAAAACGAUUCGUUUUGAUUAUGAACUGUUAACGAAUUUAUUGUUUUUUGUAAACGUAGAAAACAGAAAAAAGUAAUGAAAGAAAAUUUAGUCAAAAUUGUCUUUGAUACAUCAGAACUGACAUCAAGGACAAAUUAAAUCGCUUACAAUUCAGCCGAGCAUGACAAAGAAACUGUUAAUUAAAUUCAUCAAUAAUAAAAAAAUUAAAAUCUUUGUAAUAUUUUUUAAAGUGAAACAUUCUAUUGACACAAAAAUUUUCGUACAUCUAUCGCAUGUCGCAUGUCACAAGUGUUCCGCGGUGUGUGUUUUGAU